CAGUUAUUUGCUGAGGUCUUGAGGAGAUGUUUUUGUUCAGUGCUUGGCGAGAGGAAAGCCACCCGGGUGAGCUGCGGUUUCCUCCGGGCGGCUCCGCCGCUCUGGCCCUCAAUUCCCGAAGCCCGGGCCUGACCCGAGGCGCGCCGGGACCCCCAGGAAGGUGGGGGCGAUGGUGCAGAUGGAGACACAACUGCAGAGCAUUUUUGAGGAGGUGGUGCAUGUUUAUGGAUACCCGUGAAGAUGAAAAAACAAAACUUAUCAGCUGUUUGGGGGCCUUCGGACAGUUUUGGGCUGGUCUUUCUCAGGAGUCUCAUGAACAGUGCAUCCGGUGGAUUCUUGAAUUCGUUCAUGGUCAGCAUAGUCCUAAAAGAAUUUUUCUGUAUGACUGCUUAGCAAUGGCAGUCGAGACUGGUCUUCUUCCACCCAGGUAUGUUUAAUGGGUGUUCGAGAUCUCUUAAAGGUUAUUUUGGACAAAAUCUUGACAAUUCCUAAUACAGUGAGCUCAGCUGUUGUACAGCAGCUUCUGGCAGCAAGAGAGGUCGCUGCAGUCUUCUGCCAGUUGUAAAUAACUCAUGCACCAUUUCUGACUCAUGGAAAUUGGAUCCUGCAACUCUUUGUUUUCCUUUGAAAGGCCUUUUGCCAUAUGAUAAGAAUUUUUAGGUUCCUACAACACAGUCUGAGAAAUAAAAGUUUACAGAUGAAUGACUAUAAGAUUGCCCUGUUGUGUAAUGCGUAUUCUACAAAUUCAGAAUGUUUUACAUUACCCAUGGGAGGUCUGGUAGAAACUAUUUAUGGAAAUGGAAUUAUGAGGAUACCUCUCCCUGGAAUGAGCUGUGUGGAUUCAGGAUGUAUUACUCCCUUACCAGUGAACCUUCUGGAUUCACUGACAGUUAAUGCCAAAAUGAGGUAUGUGCUUUUUAUUUAUUUGGUCUCAUGUCAAGAAAUUGCUGUUGAUAUAGACCUUGAUUUCCUUUCAUGUGUAUAUUUUAUGGCUAGGUGCAUUUUUGAAAUAAUUACAUUUAAUUUGUUAUAAAAAUGAAUAUUGUAGGAAUUGUAGAAUAUAUAAAUAAACCGAAAGAAAAUGAUAGUUGCCAUAAUCCCUCCAUGAGAAAGAUUAUAAAAUUUUUGUGUAUAUUCUCAAUGUCUUUUCCUUUGUGUAAGUAUAUGAAUAUAUGCUUUUUUUUUUUUUUUGACAAACAUGGACUUACGCUGCAAUACUGUAACACAUGGAAGGCUUUUAGAUUUGAAUGCUGUGGUUUCUAAAAGACAGAAAAGGCUCUGUUGAGUGUGAGUCUAGAACCUCAAGUGCCUAGGGACCAGACUGGUGAUGUUAAUUAACAAAGCCUGGUGCUGACUGAGGGUCCAGGUGUAUGUGCCCACAGAAGCACGUGUGUAUGGAGAGAACUGAGGUCGGCUGGGGCAUGCAGAGCUCAUAUUCUGAUGCUGCCACUUUAGCUCAUUUCUGUAAUAUAGGAAUGUGGACUAGUAUAGCUAGAUUCUCUGACUUUUUUCAAGAAGGGCUGGAAAUCCAAAUUUUUUAUUUCUAAUCUUUCAGCUUUUAAAUAUGGCUCAAACUUAAAAACACCAUGUGGGACAAAGAGACUGCAUCUGUGGGCCUCCAGGUGGGACAUCAGUUCUAGAAAAGCCACACUCCUUUUCAAAUAGUAAACACUGAUAGAAUUAUACAUGUGCUUUACUUGCAUGCAUGACAUAUCUGAGGAAAGCCAUGCUGGAACCUAACAUUUAGGUCUUUGCAAUGAUUUAAGUAAUUCUAUGACUUAAGUUUUUUAAUAUCGCAAAUGGUUGUAGUUCCAUAUAUGAAAAAGAAAAACAGACUAAAAUCACUCAAGUAUGUGUAUGAGUUGUACUCACAUUUUGUUCUUCCAUGAGCAGACAGAUCCUGGUGCACAUUUAAAGUCCCAUAAAAACCAGAGUUAUUGUAUUUUUAUGAAAAUAACGUGUGUGUUAUAUGUGUUUUGCCAACCUCGCAACCCCAUUGCACAUUAUUUUCCUAGACACUGUGUGCAUUGUAUGUGUGGGUGUAUUAUUUACAUGGGGGCGUUAUUUGAAAAAAUACGGUAGUCUCAGGUUGUACAGUGUAUCACUAGUAAGUUUACUGCACAAUUUAAAUAUGUUAAGUGCAUCAGCUUCAUUUUAACCAUUUAAAUUUAGAUUUAUACUGAAUAAGUUACCCAUAAGUAGAGGUAACGCCUGUAUUUAUACCCAAAACAUGAAUUUUUAUUUUCUCCCCUUAUAUUUCUCCUCAGCCUUAUUCACAGCAUUGUAACCAGGGUGAUAAAACUUGCUCCUGCGAAGUCCAGUGUGACCUUGGCUCCAGUACUAGUAGAAAUUCACAGUCGUUUAUUAGUCUAUAUGGAAAUAGAAUCUUUGGGCAUCAAAGGAUUUAUCAUUUUUUUUUACAGGCUCUGAUUGAAUUCAGGGGACUUGGUGUAAAGACAUACUUCAGACCAUCAUGAGUUUUACUCCUCAUAAUUGGGCUUUACACACCCUUAGCUGUUUUCCAGGCCCACUACAGGUAAUUUGGUCUUGAAUUAGAUAUUGAAUACAUGUGAAAUCCUUCUUUCCAUUCAUAGUGGCAGUUUGUCUAAAGAAUUAGUUUUGGUGACAUCUGAAACAAAAUUAGCAUUGAUUUCCUUCUUUUUUUUUCUUAAUCUCUGUAAUUACUUCUGAAAUCUUUUGAGUUGUUCCUUGCUCUACUCUAGAGCUGUAUAUGUUCCUAAAUCUUUAAUUAUUGUGGUUUCAUCUUAAUUGUUAACAGUAUUAGAUUCUUGGGAGCAUCAACACAUUACCUGAAAAGCUCUAGUUCUGUAAUAGAACCAAAAUGGGGAGAAAUCUAAUUUAUCAUAUUUUUUUUGCAAAUAACAUACCUAUGUAAAUAACAUGCCCACACAUAUAACAUGCAGAAAUGAUGAAGUGAAACAGUUCUGGCAUAAUGUGUGCACUAUUUGCAUAAAAAUAUGGUAAUGUAGCUUCACAGAAUAUACAUAUGCUACACUUAACUGAAUAUUUAAA